rnacentral:rRNA from 1 species
UUAACCGAAUAGGGGAGCCGGAGGGAAACCGAGUCUUAAUUGGGCGUUAAGUUGCAGGGUAUAGACCCGAAACCCGGUGAUCUAGCCAUGGGCAGGUUGAAGGUUGGGUAACACUAACUGGAGGACCGAACCGACUAAUGUUGAAAAAUUAGCGGAUGACCUGUGGCUGGGGGUGAAAGGCCAAUCAAACCGGGAGAUAGCUGGUUCUCCCCGAAAGCUAUUUAGGUAGCGCCUCGUGAAUUCAUCUCCGGGGGUAGAGCACUGUUUCGGCUAGGGGGCCAUCCCGGCUUACCAACCCGAUGCAAACUGCGAAUACCGGAGAAUGUUAUCACGGGAGACACACGGCGGGUGCUAACGUCCGUCGUGAAGAGGGAAACAACCCAGACCGCCAGCUAAGGUCCCAAAGUCAUGGUUAAGUGGGAAACGAUGUGGGAAGGCCCAGACAGCCAGGAUGUUGGCUUAGAAGCAGCCAUCAUUUAAAGAAAGCGUAAUAGCUCACUGGUCGAGUCGGCCUGCGCGGAAGAUGUAACGGGGCUAAACCAUG